rnacentral:ncRNA from 1 species
AAUAAAUUUUAUAAUGAUUUUUAAAUUAAUAAUAUUUUUUUAUUAAUAUAAGAUAAUUUUAUAUUAAAAAUAUAAUUAAUUUAGUGAUUAAAUUUAAUAAUUUAAUGAAAGUUAAAUUUAGAAAAAAAAAAAUAGUAAAGAUUAAAAUUAGUGCCAGCAAUAGCGGUUAAACUAAUUUUGCAAAUUAAUUUAAUUAAUUAAUAUUAAUAUAGAAUUGAAUAAAUUUAAUUAAAUUUUUAUAUUUUAGGUGAAAUUUAAUUUAUAAAUAUAUUAAAUUUAAGAUUUAUAUAUAUAAUAAGAUAAAUAAGUAAACUAGGAUUAGAUACCCUAUUAUAUAAAAUAAUUAUAUUUAAUUUAUAAAUAAAUGUAGAAUCAUUAAAAUUAAAUUAUAUGGCGGCUUUUCAUUCUUAUUAGAGAAAUUUGUAGUUUAAUUUGAUAAUCCACGAUAAGAUUUACUUAAAUAAAAAAUUUAUAUAUUGUUGUAUAUUUUAAAAUAAAAUUUAUUAUUAUUAAUAUUUUAUAAAAUAAUAAUUCAAAUCAAAAUGUAGUGUAUUUAAGAAUUUAUGAAUUAUAAUAAAUUGAAUUUUUAGAUAAUUUAAAUUUUAAAAUUAAUUUGAAAGAGGAUUUAAUAGUAAAUUUAAUAAAAUUAAUUAAAUUGAAAUUAGUUUUGAAAAGUGUACAAAUUGCCCGUCAGUUUCAUUUAUGGAAUAAGUCGUAACAUAGUAAAAAUAUUGGAAAAUGUUUUUAGAAUAAA